CAGUAGCCGCGGUAAUACGAAGGGUGCAAGCGUUACUCGGAAUUACUGGGCGUAAAGCGUGCGUAGGUGGUGGUUUAAGUCCGUUGUGAAAGCCCUGGGCUCAACCUGGGAAUUGCAGUGGAUACUGGGUCACUAGAGUGUGGUAGAGGAUAGUGGAAUUUCCGGUGUAGCAGUGAAAUGCGUAGAGAUCGGAAGGAACAUCUGUGGCGAAGGCGACUAUCUGGGCCAACACUGACACUGAGGCACGAAAGCGUGGGGAGUAAACAGGAUUAGAUACCCCCGUAGUCCCUGUCUCUUAUAC
rnacentral:rRNA from 1 species